AAAUGCUGAGAAGAUAACACUUCAAACCCCAGCAAAAGAGGUGCAUGGCUACUUGCAUUCAGCUUCAAAUUUGCAUUUAGAUCCAGAGCCACCUAUAUUCAUAGGAUUUCGGUCAGGCUGACUGCCCUCAGGAUGCACAUUUGCUACUGCAGAGGAGCCAACUUCAGAAAGCAGCAUUAAGGAAUAGCACCAACGUCCUCCCUGACCCCAGUGGCUAACUAUCUUCUGCACAGCGGGGGAGACAGAAAGAAGUGCCUGAGAGAUUCAGGCUGUAGGAAAAUGAAGUCAACCACAAUUACCAUCGCAUCCAUUUUCUAACUAUUUAAAUGGGAUUGUAAUUGCAUAAAAUUACUAAUUUUGUUCAUUAGAGUUCAAUUAAAUUCAUCUGAAUUCAGGAUAAUGGCAUUGUUGUAGUACAGCCAUAUUAAAGAUGAAACAC